rnacentral:rRNA from 1 species
CUUUACUGCAACUUGACGUUGGAACUUGGCUGUAUUUGUGUAGGAUAGGUGGGAGACUUUGAAGCAGGGCCGCCAGGUCUUGCGGAGUCGUCGUUGAAAUACCACCCUGGUGCUGACGAGUUUCUAACCGUGUCCGUAAGCCGGACAUGAGACAGCGUCUGGUGGGCAGUUUGACUGGGGCGGUCGCCUCCUAAAGGGUAACGGAGGCAUUCAAAGGUCCCCUCAGCGUGGUCGGUAAUCACGCGCAGAGUGCAAACGCAUAAGGGGGCUUAACUGCGAGACCGACAGGUCGAGCAGGUACGAAAGUAGGAGUUAGUGAUCCCGCGGUUUAGCGUGGAAUUGCCGUUGCUCAAUGGAUAAAAGGUA